rnacentral:lncRNA from 1 species
GGAAAUACAAGGCAAAAAAUAAACACCUUGAUUUUCCUUUUGGUCUGCCCCAACUUACGGCAAAAAGAGCCUGCGUUUGCAUGCGAACUUUGGAAGAUCCUUGAAAGCACCUCCGCCCUGCAGAAAAGCUGUAUAGUUACAGAAAAGUAAGUGGCACGCUCAGGACCACCGCUACCAGUUCGGUGGUGGAUUCAAACCUGGCAAGCAGGGACCUCAUCAUUCCUUGCUGCGGCUGCUGGAAGAGCUCGCGCAGCACACCUAGCCCGUCUGCGAGAGCCACGAGAGCAGGCAUCGCACACCUUUGAAAGGGAACCCAAUCGUUCCUGCAGCUCAGUUCGGAUCCAAUAACUCCUUGCAGCACUUAAAACAGCCAACUGUAUAAUUUGUCAUCUCUUGCAGAGGACAGAAACCACAGCUUGCACGCACUGGCCGCUCAGUUGCGUGAUCACAAGGGACUUGCCGCUCUCAUAAACGUCUUGGCUGAGGAAAGGUGUUAUUUGCCAUCCUAGCAUUCAAACCGCAUCCUAGGACUAGCAGUGUUACAUGUUUAGUGAACUCACUGCUGAAAUCUUAAGCCGUGAGUGACAUGAAAAGCGCGGUAAAGCGUUAGAGCACGGCCAGCAACACGCACACAGGAACGAGAGAGGUCGGUACUCACCCUGGCGAGCACACGGGAAGUACCACAGCCCGGCCCAGCCCAGGCUUUAUAUACACCUAUCUCAAGGUCACCGCUGAUAGCUUUUUAAAGGCAUCAGCAGCUUCCCUUUGUGACUAUAUUUGUCAGCCGGCUCCCCGACGAGGAGACAAGGCCGGUGCGGGGAACACGUGCGGCUGGGCGCAGGGGGAGGGCAGGCAUGCCGGUGGGAGCGCCGGGCUCCUCGCGCGCUUCCCCUCGCCACCUCAUUCUUCUUCCAUGACUUCAUGGAAGAAACUUCUCCUGCUUCCGCGCUGUGUUUUCACAGGGGUGGCUCCAGUACACGAUGCUUCACCUUUAUGUUGCAUCUGGCUACAAGCAAAACAGAGCUAGUGAUCUUGGCAUAGGCUGUUUCUGUGAAUAAGGAAUGCUUCUGCAGAGCUCAAGGAGCAGCUCCUGACCAUGUAAUCCAGAACAAGGCAGAUUGCCACACUUGGAUUUACGGAUUCUGUUCAUCUGUGGCUGAAGACUGAGAAUAUGAUUAUUUCACACCACAAGGAUAUAGUGCACUCCCACUCUGUCCCUCCUGCUCCUUUCUCACUCUGCCAGUAGCUUUAUUUCUAGACACAGUAUUACCAUUACUACCUACU